rnacentral:rRNA from 1 species
GAGCAUGGCUCAGGAUGAACGCUAGCUACAGGCUUAACACAUGCAAGUCGAGGGGCAGCAUUUUAGUUUGCUUGCAAACUAAAGAUGGCGACCGGCGCACGGGUGAGUAACACGUAUCCAACCUGCCGAUAACUCUGGGAUAGCCUUUCGAAAGAAAGAUUAAUACCGGAUGGCAUAGGAUUAUCGCAUGAUAAUCCUAUUAAAGAAUUUCGGUUAUCGAUGGGGAUGCGUUCCAUUAGG